rnacentral:misc_RNA from 1 species
CCGAGUUUACAACUCCCAAACCCAAUGUGAACAUACCUCUUAUGUUGCCUCGGCGGGACCGCCCCGGCGCCCUUCACACGGCCCGGAACCAGGCGCCCGCCGCAGGGACCCAAACCUCUUGUUUUUUUGUUAGAUUUCUCCUCUGAGUGGAUUUUUACAAAUAAAUCA